UGGGCCCACCCAAAAACGUCAGGUCGAGGUGUAGCGUACGAAGUGGGAAGAAAUGGGCUACAUUUUCUAAAAUAGAAUAUUUACGGACAGCACCCUGAAAACGUGCUAGAAGGUGGAUUUAGUAGUAAAAAGUAAAUAGAGAGUCCUUUUGAAUUAGGCUCUGAGACGCGCACACACCGCCCGUCACUCUCCCCUAACACUAUCAAUUUAUAUAAAUAAUAAUUCA
rnacentral:rRNA from 1 species